rnacentral:ncRNA from 1 species
GGUAGUAGCAAAUAAUCGAAUGAGACCUUGGAGGACUGAAGUGGAGAAGGGUUUCGUGUGAACAGUGGUUGAUCACGAGUUAGUCGGUCCUAAGUUCAAGGCGAAAGCCGAAAAUUUUCAAGUAAAACAAAAAUGCCUAACUAUAUAAACAAAGCGAAUAUAAUACACUUGAAUAAUUUUGAACGAAAGGGAAUACGGUUCCAAUUCCGUAACCUGUUGAGUAUCCGUUUGUUAUUAAAUAUGGGCCUCGUGCUCAUCCUGGCAACAGGAACGACCAUAAAGAAGCCGUCGAGAGAUAUCGGAAGAGUUUUCUUUUCUGUUUUAUAGCCGUACUACCAUGGAAGUCUUUCGCAGAGAGAUAUGGUAGAUGGGCUAGAAGAGCAUGACAUAUACUUUUUUUUUUUUUUUUUUUUUUUUUAAUUUUUUUUUAUUAUUUAUUGAAUCUUCCCUUUGUGUUAAGAGACUAACAAUAAGUGUUCAAAUCUUAAUC